UGUAGCAAUACAAGGCAGACGGCUCAGUAACGCGUAGUCAACCUAACCUAUGGAUGGGAAUAACCUCGGGAAACUGAGAAUAAUGCCCAAUAGAACACUAUACCUGGAAUGGUUUGUGUUCCAAAUGAUUUAUCGCCGUAGGAUGGGACUGCGGCCUAUCAGUUUGUUGGUGAGGUAAUGGCCCACCAAGACUAUUACAGGUACGGGCUCUGAGAGGAGUAGCCCGGAGAUGGGUACUGAGACACGGACCCAGGCCCUAUGGGGCGCAGCAGGCGAGAAAACUUUGCAAUGUGCGAAAGCACGACAAGGUUAAUCCGAGUGAUUUGUGCUAAACGAAUCUUUUGUUAGUCCUAGAAACACUAACGAAUAAGGGGUGGGCAAGUUCUGGUGUCAGCCGCCGCGGUAAAACCAGCACCUCAAGUGGUCAGGAUGAUUAUUGGGCCUAAAGCAUCCGUAGCCGGCUCUGUAAGUUUUCGGUUAAAUCUGUAUGCUCAACAUACAGGCUGCCGGGAAUACUGCAGAGCUAGGGAGUGGGAGAGGUAGACGGUACUCGGUAGGAAGGGGUAAAAUCCUUUGAUCUAUUGAUGACCACCUGUGGCGAAGGCGGUCUACCAGAACACGUCCGACGGUGAGGGAUGAAAGCUGGGGGAGCAAACCGGAUUAGAUACCCGGGUAGUCCCAGCUGUAAACUAUGCAAACUCAGUGAUGCAUUGGCUUGUGGCCAAUGCAGUGCUGCAGGGAAGCCGUUAAGUUUGCCGCCUGGGAAGUACGUACGCAAGUAUGAAACUUAAAGGAAUUGGCGGGGGAGCACCACAAGGGGUGAAGCCUGCGGUUCAAUUGGA
rnacentral:rRNA from 1 species